UGCCCUUGACUUCGGAAUACCAGCUGGAAACAGCUGCUAAUACCGGAUAUGACCUCGGCCCUCAUGGGUUGGGGUGGAAAGCUCCGGCGGUCAGGGAUGGGCUCGCGGCCUAUCAGCUUGUUGGUGAGGUAAUGGCUCACCAAGGCUUCGACGGGUAGCCGGCCUGAGAGGGCGACCGGCCACACUGGGACUGAGAUACGGCCCAGACUCCUACGGGAGGCAGCAGUGGGGAAAUAUUGCACAAUGGGCGCAAGCCUGAUGCAGCAACGCCCGCGUGCGGGAUGACGGCCUUC
rnacentral:rRNA from 1 species